AAUUCUCGCAUAAUAUUACAGAAAAUCAAGAAAAAAUUAUCUCUUAAUUUCUUCAUUAUGUUUGCACCAAAAUCCCUCUUAUCUUACCUCUUUUGUUUUCCCCAAAAGUAUUCGCCUAUUUCACCCAAUUUCUCCAAGCCCUAGUUCCUACCCCUGUUCGAGAAUUUUCGAAUUCAUUAAGGAGAUUCGGAAGAUUUGAUUACAGGAAAAGAAUUGGGGAUUUGAAAAGAUAAUUUCAGAUUUGGGUUUUAAGGAAAAAUAAUAGUUUGGAGACCUUCGAGAAUGAAUCUCGUCGAUCAGGACCCACCUUUGGAAUAAGAUGUACACCGGUGUUGGUGAUUUCCGGCAGAGGUCGCCGAUGGUGGUCGUUAUCUGGUGUUCAACUUUUGGCUCUUCAAAGAAUUAAAUGAACGGAGGUGUUAACGGUGGAGUAUUGAUGAUAGAAGGUACUGUUACAAACCUCGAGAAGUUUUAUUCGACGGUGGUCGCCGAAAUUUGGUGUGAAAUUCAGCAUGCUCGCCGGACAGGGAAAUAAAAUCUGCUACGGCAUCUGUUUUCGGAGCCAAAAUCGAAGGGUUUGGAGUGUGAAUUUGGGAAUUAUUCCUUCUCGAAACUCGUAGAGGACCUCGAAAACUGUGAGUGUGUCAUCCGUGGUUGUGUACCUAAGAAAAUUUCGGUCUAUGAUGUUGCUUUUGGUGCUAACUCAAGCUAUGUUGGCGAAAUUCUGAGAAAUAGUAAACCUUCUGCUGCACUUGUUUCCGGAGUCGAAAUCGAAGGGUUUGGAGUGAGAUUUUCGAAUCAGUCUCUUCACAAAACUCGUCGAGGACCGUGAUAAUUAUAUGUUGGACUGUUUGAUGAAGUGAAAGAACGUUAUCGUGGAAGUCAUAUUUGUUGUCGAUUAACAAUUUAUGAAGUGGAAUUUAUUAUGAAAUAAUUAUAGUAAUCUUUCUUAUUAUUUGGAAUGAUUGAUUUAUUAUUUGUAUUUAGUAUGAAAGAUUGAAAUUAUAAUAUUCACAUUUGAUUGGUAAUAUGUAAAUUUGAAAUCUUUAGUUUUAUUUUAAUUUUUUUUACAGCCACUGUUGCAAAUAAACAUUAAUGAUUAAUGCAACCAAUUAAUUAUUGGUCUGAAUUGGUCAGUAAAUUUAAUAAUUGUCGAAACCAUGUAAAAACUAUUGCAACCAAUAAUAUGGUCACUAUAUGUAUAUAUUUUAGCAACCAACAGAUAUAUUAUUUAUAAACCAACAUAUACCGUCACUAUAUGUAUAUUAUGUAGCAACCAAAAAAUUUGGUGGCCAAAUAUAUAUCCUAUAGCAACAAUAAAAUAUGGUCACUAUACGUAUAUAUCAUUUAGCGACCAAAAUUAUAUGGCGACUAUAUAUGUUGCUAUAGCAACCAUGUUGAUAUUAUUGCCACCAUAAAAUUUACAUUAGCGAGUCAAAAACUGGUUGUUAAUAAUUAUACUUUUAGUGACCAAUAUUAGUUCGCCGCUAAAUCUCAUCUUUUAGCGUCCAAUUAAUUUUCUUGUCACUAAUACUUUUAGUAGCCACCCUGUUGUGAC